rnacentral:rRNA from 1 species
UACGUAGGGGGCGAGCGUUGCCCGGAGUUACUGGGCGUAAAGGGCGCGGAGGCGGUCUGCGGCGUCGGCGCUGAAAGCGCCCCGCUUAACGGGGCGAGGCGUGCCGAUACGCGCAGACUUGAGGCGAGCAGAGGGGGGUGGAAUUCCGGGUGGAGCGGUGAAAUGCGUAGAGAUCCGGAGGAACGCCAGUGGGGAAGCCGGCCACCUGGGCUCGUCCUGACGCUGCGGCGCGACAGCGUGGGGAGCAAACCGG